rnacentral:rRNA from 1 species
CAGGCUUACACAUGCAAGUCGAGCGGUAACAUUUCUAGCUUGCUAGAAGAUGACGAGCGGCGGACGGGUGAGUAACGCGUAGGAAUCUGCCUAGUAGUGGGGGACAACAUGUGGAAACGCAUGCUAAUACCGCAUACGCCCUACGGGGGAAAGGAGGGGAUCUUCGGACCUUUCGCUAUUAGAUGAGCCUGCGUGAGAUUAGCUAGUUGGUGGGGUAAAGGCCUACCAAGGCGACGAUCUCUAGCUGGUCUGAGAGGAUGAUCAGCCACACUGGGACUGAGACACGGCCCAGACUCCUACGGGAGGCAGCAGUGGGGAAUAUUGGACAAUGGCGCAAGCCUGAUCCAGCCAUGCCGCGUGUGUGAAGAAGGCCUUAGGGUUGUAAAGCACUUUCAGGAGUGAGGAAGGGCGUAUAGUUAAUACCUGUAUGUUUUGACGUUAACUCCAGAAGAAGCACCGGCUAACUCUGUGCCAGCAGCCGCGGUAAUACAGAGGGUGCGAGCGUUAAUCGGAAUUACUGGGCGUUAAGCGCGCGU